ensembl:lncRNA
GUAUUACUGGACAGUAAAACCACCAAAGAAAAAUUUCCCAGAAUAAUUCUUACCCUUCUGAGUUAGCUCAAACUGUAUCAUCACAUGAGAUGCAUGUAUUUCCCUCUACUACGCUCUGUUUAUUCCAUCAAAAGUGUGCCUCUAAGCAUUCCAGUGAGAGCUCUUUGUUGGAGGGACAAAUGACCUUUAGGAAGUCCUCAGAAACAUAAAUAGAGCAGAUGAGGCAGGCAAGAAAAGGAAGGGAGCAUCCUGACCAAGGGCCAGGCCUCCAGCCAGCUGGGAUUGGCCCAGGAAAUCUCCCCGACCCGACAGUGGAAAGAUGGGGUAGAAGAAAAGCAACUGUUCAUCACCCCCUCCAAAUGCAUAAAGAAAAGAAGGGUGUAGAAGAUCCAUUCUAGCAUGGCUGUCACCUGGAUGGUGUAAAGGGGAGAUGGAGAAGAAUCAAUCUGCUUGUUUCCUUGGAGGAGCUCCAGGCUUCGCCUUCACUUUGAACAUCAUCUCCUGGCUUCCAGUGCAGACUCUUCAGCUUCCAGCUCAGACUUUUCAGCCUUCCCACAUAAACUCUUCAGCCUUCCAUCACAGACCCAUCAGCCUCCUGAUAUGAACUCUGCAGUGAGCUCCAGACCUUCAACUGAAUCCUUCAUAUCCAGUGUGCAGACAAAUCCUCUGCACUCUUCCACAUCUGACUGUUUGAGUCUCUAUUGUAAGUCAAUCUUGUAAAUUCAUAUAUAUGUAAUAUAUAUAUUUGUAUAUUUCAUGUUAUAUCUGUUUCAUUCAUCUGUAGAUGGACAUCUGGUUUCUUUCUAUCUUUUGACUAUUGUGAAUAACUCUGCUAUGAACCGCAGUGUGUGAAGAUCUGUUUGAGUCCCUUUUUCAUUUCUUUGGGGAUAUAUUCAGAGGCAGAAUUGCUUGAUCAUAUGAUAUUUCCAUGUUUUACUUUCUGUGGAACCACAGAACUCUUUCCACUGCUGUCAUAUUUGAUGUUUCCUUCAGCAAAGCACAAGAGCUUCAGUUUCUUCUCCACAUCUUCACCGAUAUUUUCCACAUUUUUGAUAACAGCCACUCCAAUGGCUAAGUAUCAUUACUGAAUUUGGUCUGCUUUGUUAACUAUUCUUACGAAAAGUCACAAAGAGGAAUUAUUAUACAGCUAGUUACCCUGCAUGUGGAAAGCUGCAAACAUCUGAUGUGAGUCUCAAAGCAGAAAGUAAAAUAUGGUGAUAUCUGUUACAUUUCAAACACAGCACUGAUAUUUCUCCAAAUAAGAACAUAAACCUGUGUUUUGAAACUGCCAUUAAAAAUCUUACAGCAAAUUCUUGGUAUAUAAGUAGAUCCCUAGUCAAGACCAUAGCCUAUAAGAGGCUGAUACCUGUGAAUGCCUUUCUUGGCAAAGCCAAACUCUUACUGAAGUUAGGAAUACCUUACACUUGACCCCAAACAUUAAACGAUUUCCCUCCAUUUUGAUUUUAGUUCAGUGCAUGGUGAAAGAUGUGGGUCUAAUUUUAAUCUUUGGCAAGUUGAAACCCAGUUUUUCCAACACCGUUUAUUAAAUAGGCUAUCUUUCCUCCAGUGAGGGUAUUUGGCUCCUUUGUCAAAGAUGAGCUAUCUGAGUGUGUCUGGAGUUGUUGUUGCAUCUUCUAAUCUGUUCCACUGAUCCUCAGGUUUGUUUCCUUGCCAGUACCAUGUUGUUUUUAUCGUAGUGGUUUGUAGUAUAGUUUCAUGUUGCAGAUUGUGAUAUCCCCUGUCAUGUCUCCAUUGCCCAGAAUCGCUUUCGCUAUUCUAGGUCUCUUCUGGUUCCAAAUGAAUUUUUGGAUUGUUUUCUCUAGUUCUGUGAAGUAUACUGUUGGAAUUUCAAUUGGGAUUUACGCUCUUUAUAUUAUUAUCCCAGCUCAGCUUCAUACGGUCCUCUCAGGUGACAGAGGAAUGGGGGAGGGGAGUUUAUGUGUCCAAUACCCUGUGAUCAGAAGACACCGA